UCUGGCCUGCCACUGAUUUUAUUUAAAGGCCGCGGUAUACUGACCGUGCGAAGGUAGCAUAAUAAUUAGUCUUUUAAUUGAAGACUGGAAUGAACGGUCGGACAAGGAGAAAACUGUCUCGUAAUUAAAAAUUGAAAUUAACUUUUAAGUGAAAAGGCUUAAAUAAUUUUAAAGGACGACAAGACCCUAUAAAACUUUAUAUAAUUAAACUAACUCCUAACCUAUAAGUAUAACAGGAGAAAGUCAUAAUUGUAUUUCGUUGGGGCGACGAAAGUAUAAACGUAACUGCUUUUAUAUUAAAACAAUAAUAUUUGAAAAAAUGACCCUUGUUAAAGAUCUAAAGAAAAAGUUACUUUAGGGAUAACAGCGUUAUUUUUUUUGAGAGUCCUUAUCGACAAAAAAGUUUGCGACCUCGAUGUUGAAUUAAAGUCCCAUUAUAAUGCAGCAAUUAUAAAGUUA
rnacentral:rRNA from 1 species